ACUCCUACGGGAGGCAGCAGUGGGGAAUAUUGCACAAUGGGCGCAAGCCUGAUGCAGCCAUGCCGCGUGUAUGAAGAAGGCCCUAGGGUUGUAAAGUACUUUCAGUCGGGAGGAAGGCGUUGAUGCUAAUAUCAUCAACGAUUGACGUUACCGACAGAAGAAGCACCGGCUAACUCCGUGCCAGCAGCCGCGGUAAUACGGAGGGUGCAAGCGUUAAUCGGAAUUACUGGGCGUAAAGCGCACGCAGGCGGUUGAUUAAGUUAGAUGUGAAAUCCCGCUAGCUAGGCAUGGGAUGCUAGNUAGGUCGAGCUAGAGUCUUGUAGA
rnacentral:rRNA from 1 species